GCUGUGGCUGGGAAGAUCGGGGCAAAGUCCAAACUUUACUUCCUCAAGCACCUAACUGCUCCCGAGCAGACCUUGGGCAUCUGCUCCCAUGUUUCCCAGGAUUAAAACAGGAUCCGCCCAAUUAUCGCCGUUUGCCAUAGCUUCCAGGUCAGCGGGAAGGCGUCCAUAGCAUUCGGGAACACUUGGAGAAGGAAGAGGGAGGAAUCGCUAUAGGAAGAAGCAUUCUCUGGUUUCUACAUUAAAUCCCUAGCGGCGGGUCCUUCGGUGGAGGGAGGGAGGUUCAGCUUACGGGCUGUGCUGGGAAGGCAGCGGCGCUGGAGGAGCUGCGAGGAAGGCGUUGCGCGGAUCCUGCCCUGCGCGCCUCUCUCGAAGAACGGAGUCCGGGCGAGGGGCAGAGCCGCCUUUCCCUCCGGGCGAGGAGGACUUGGUACUUCUCAAAGAUAUAGCUGUUUUUUUCUCCAUGGAAGAGUGGGCCCUGCUGGAUUGUGAGCAGAAAGCCCUACACUGAGUGGUCAUAAUGGAAAACGCAAGGAAUAUGGUUGAUUGCCUAUUUGUGUCCCUCCCUCAUGUCUCCCUCAUCGUGACCUGACAAAAGGGCGAAUGA